UGCACUACUAACACUCUAAUUAGUUUGUGAAUUAUGGACGAUAAGUAUAAAAUUAAAAAGAAAAAAAAAACUAGUUGUCUCUUAAAUGUGGAUUAUAAUUUAUACAUAAUUUAUUAGUAAUCCUUUUUCUUUAUUUCAACCAUUUAAUUCUUUGCAGCCUUCACAAUUAAACAUUUUUUGCCUGAAUAUCAUCAAGUAUAUAGAGAUUAUUGUUGAGCUGAAAAGUAAUCCAUCACUUAAACACCCUUUGCUAGAAAACAUAAAAAAUGUAAUGUAUAAGUCAAAUAUCAUUUUUGUACAUAUAUAUAAUGCGUUUUGUAUUUCUAAUCGGUUACUUAUAACAAGCAAAAAUAUAUACGUCUCUCUUUUUUUAGGUUGAUUAAUUGACUCCUACAAACUUUCCAUUUGCAAAAUCGUCAAAAAAAUUCAGGGCUAUAAGUGUAAAACACAAGUAUCAAGGACAAGAGGUAAUGGAAGAAGGGGGAGAAUCACCGGUUAGUAAAAAUGUAAGCCCUAUGAUUACAAAUGAAGCUAUAACAUCAGCAGCGGAAAGUCCAGCUUUACAACGUGGCCUUGAACUUCUAAGAUCAGCUAGAAAUAAAGAUGCGCGAAAAAGAAAGACUAUAGAAGAAGGCAAAUUAGAAGCCAUUGCUCCAAAAGGCAUGGGUAUCAAGAGUAAAGAAACAACAAGUAGCAAAGAAAUUUUGGCUACAAUUCCAGAAAAUUAUGAGAUCAUGCUACCAAUUAAAUUCUUAGAAAUUGACAUCGCGGGAAAUGCCCUCAUAUUAUUCUUCCAAGAAAAGGAAAAGAUUUUCCGAGUCCAUAUAAAGAAGUAGUCAAAUGUCCAUCCUACAAUCGAUAUGGGAGAGUUAAUGAUUUCAGUUCUUUUAAAUCUUUGUAAAGAUAUAGCCAUUUUCGACCCCAAUGUAUUUGAAAUUACAACUAAUUAAUGUAAUAAUAUUUUAAAUUUUCAUGUGUAUCAUAAUUUUUGGUAUAGAUUCAGGAAUUUUCAUGAGUUAUGAUUAUUUAAUUGUUUAUUCACUAUUUUAUAUUAAACCGUAAGAAUGAAGUCCCUUUUGAUAAAAAGAAAAUGAGAAAACUUUAUUGAUAUACAACACAUGCACAAAUCAUAAAUACUCUAUAUGAAGUUGCACAACAACAAAAAUAUUACUUUGAUAUGAGAAAAAUCAUAAUUGUAUAUGUUGCAAACAAAUUAGAUGGGUUAGUGGUCAUUUCCCUCCUACAUAAAGUGUCACAUUUUUAAUAAUGUUGAAAACACUAUCAAAUAGAAAGAAGAUCAUAGCAAAGGUGAAAAUAAUUUGUUUCUAUCAAGAUUUAUCAUUAUAGCUUUUGUACAUUGUCUAGUUUGAUUCAUUGUGCUUGAAUUUAAAUCUUCUAGAUUCCAUAGAGAAUUUGUACAAGUUGUUUUUUUUUAAAAAAAUUGUGUUAUCAUGGUCUUUGAUAGAAAUUCCAGAAUUUAUUUGGUUAGGACAAAUAAUUUUCUAUUAAUAAAAAGGCCUUAAGCUAAUUUGAUUAAAAAAGAAGAAAGAAAAGAAGGUAGUACUGAAUGACCUUGAGUUACACCAAAUCUUAUAAUUUUAAGGGUAAGUUACAAAGCUGAACUUUUUGUUGUUGAUUCUAUAGCUUCAUUUAUUCUCAUGAGACUUACGAUUCUACUAAUUGAUACUUCUGCACCCUUCCCCUCCUUUACUUUUUGUCAUCGAUAUUACUAGUGUUUUGCACUUGUAGCCUUGACUUUUUUUUGAAUGAUUUUGCCAAUAAAGGCUUUGUAAAAGCCAUUAGAGUUGAUUGAUCAACCUAAAUAAAAGAGAGAGGGAAAUACUUUUUUGCCUGUUAUAUAUACGGACUAUAUAUAUAUAUAUAUAUACACAUCUAUGACUUUCGAGGGGAAGGGGAAUGUUUAAGGGUGUUCGAUUGAUCGAUUAAUUCUAAGCCAAACACAACACUUAACUUGUAAAUACAUUAUGAUUUAUCGAUGGUGAUAUUUAGUUGAUCUUUGAUUUAUAUACAUGUGAUAAUUUUCAGACAAAAAUUGUUCAAUUAAUAGGUCACACCUGAGCCUAGAAUAAAGAGUAUUCGAUCGAUUAGUCUUGAGCAUAAUAAAGGUCUUUGACAUAUAUGCACUGUGUCAUUUUCAAGCAAAAAAUAUUUAAUUGAUCAAUUUGAACUUACUGACAAUCUUUCACCUAUAUGUAAGUUAUGAUUUUCUGGACAAAAAAUACUAAAUUGAUUAACUUAUUUUGAACUGAUUGAUUACUAUGUAUUUAUAUAACUUCCUCAGUAAUUUCAGUAUAUCAAACUAACAAAGAAAUUGAUAAAGAGACAACAAAGAAAUUCUCCUCAUGAACUUAAGUUCUAUUAUGUAAUUAUGAAAUAGUCAAGCUUAAUAUAUUUUGUGUUUGUGUUUUGUUUGGUCAAAUUAUGAUCAUCUUUUGAGGAAACUUGCAUUUAAUGUGAAGUAAAGGUUUUUUUUACUUAAAUUGUUAUUUUCUUUACUUUUUGUCACAAUUUAUUUUUAACAAAGAAAUUAUGGUGCAUCUAACCAUCCUAUACAUUACAACAAUCAAUCUCUCUUUAUGAGAGUUGACUGAAUUAGUGAUAAGUAAUUAAUCAUUUUCUUCAUUUUAACUAUUUAAUCUCUUUCUUCCCUUCACAAUUACCAACUUGUUGCUCUUUCUCUUCUUUUCUUCAAUUGAGGUAACUUGAUUGCUUAUUUUUUUCUUCUUUUUCUUUAUAAUUUGAUACACUAAAAAUACUGAUUGAGUCACAUAAACACAAAGUAAUCAAUCAAUCUAUCAUUUUAACAUUUUUUUUUGCCUAAAACCAUAGAAUACAUAUAGGUCAAAGAUCGUCACCUGGCUCAAAACUGAACGAUCAAUUUUCUUUUGCUUGAAAAUCACACAACGCAUAUAGGUCAAGGACCAUUGUUAUACUCAAGACUUAUUGAUCGAGUUCUCUUUGUUUUUAGUCAUAGAAUGCAUAUAAUAUAGAUACUGUUUCUAGGCUCAAGUGUGACCUAUUAAUUAAACAAUCUUUGCCUGAAAAUUAUAGAACGUAUAUAAAUCAAAGACCAGUUCAAUAUCAUCACUGAAAAAUCAUAAGAUAUUUAUUGGUCAAAUGUCGUAUCUAGCUUAAAAUCGAUUGAUCAAUUGAUUAGAUAACAUUGUCCUAAAAAGUCACAUAUAGAUGUAUACAUAUCAAAACAAUCCAUAUAUAUAGCAAGUAAAAGAAUAUUUUUCUCUCUCUUUUAUAUAGGUUGGUCAAUCAACACAAAUGGAUUCUACAAAGCCCCCAUUAGCAAAUUCAUCAAAGAAGCCAAGGCUACAAGUGCAAAACACUAGUAGUAUCAAGGACAAAAAAGUAAUGGAGGAAGGGGAGCAGGCAGAAGUAUCAAUUCGUAGAACUGUAAGCCCCAUGAGCAUAAAUGAAGCUAUAACAUCAGCAGCAGAAAAUCCAGCUUUGCAACGUGCCCUUGAAAUUAUAAGAUUUAGGAGAACUCAAGAAAGAAAAGAAAAGCAUGGAGAUCAAGAAUAAAGGAGCAACAAGUAGCAAAGAGAUUUUGACCACAAUUCCAGAAGAUGAUGUGAUCAUACCACCAAUCAAACCCUUAGAAAUUUAGUAUCUUCCUUUUCAAUGUUUAGAAGGUGAAAUGUAUCUUAAUCUUAACUAUAACUAUCUUGAUGCUUAAUUUGAGACUGUUAAAUAAAAAUUCAGAAAUGACUAAUAUUAAAGGUUUUGAGAAAUCUAUCUCUAUAAUUUAUGUAUUUACCAUUUAUAGCAUGAGAAGAGAGGCUAGCUAGAUUGGGAGAGAAGGAGGAGAGAUGCUAGAUACAAAUUACAUUUGAUGAAUUUAAGUUGUAUCAACGAAUACACAAUGAUAUAUGAAUGUUGAUAUAAUUGUAUCAGAUACAUACUCGUUGAUACAUGUUGUAUCACUUGUAUUCAUUCACGGUAUAGAAAUACAGACUGACAUAAGUUGUAUUUGACACAUACAUGCUACUAAUACAGUUGUAUCAACUGUAUUCACUCGCUAUACAAAAAUAUAGGUUGUAUUCUAUACAUACAAAUCGAUACAAGUCGUGUUUAGUACAUAUAAGAUUAUACAAGUUGAUACAAUUUUAUCCCUAGUAUGUGUUCACUUUUGUAUCGCUUUUCAUUCGCGAUACCAAAAUAAAGAAAUAUAGAUUGAUAGGUACAUGUUGAUCCAAAACAGUGUGUUGAAACGACUAGAGAGUUGCACUUGACACAAGUAGUUUCUUCUCUUUUUUCCCAUGUAUUCAUUCCCUCUAUUUGGCAAAAUAGAGUUGAAUAAAUAAUGUCCCUAUUAUGUGGAGUAUCAUAGUGAAAUAUAUUGUGUGUGUAUAUACAGGGAGGCGAGCAAGAGAGAAAGAGAGAGUAGAGUGCAACAAAGGAGGGAGAGACGGAGCAAGGAGGCAUGCAUAAUUGAAAGAGAAAAAAGAA